rnacentral:rRNA from 1 species
AUUGAACGCUGGCGGCAGGCCUAACACAUGCAGGUCGAGCGGAUGAAGGGAGCUUGCUCCUGGAUUCAGCGGCGGACGGGUGAGUAAUGCCUAGGAAUCUGCCUGGUAGUGGGGGAUAACGUCCGGAGACGGGCGCUAAUACCGCAUACGUCCUGAGGGAGAAAGUGGGGGAUCUUCGGACCUCACGCUAUCAGAUGAGCCUAGGUCGGAUUAGCUAGUUGGUGGGGUAAAGGCCUACCAAGGCGACGAUCCGUAACUGGUCUGAGAGGAUGAUCAGUCACACUGGAACUGAGACACGGUCCAGACUCCUACGGGAGGCAGCAGUGGGGAAUAUUGGACAAUGGGCGAAAGCCUGAUCCAGCCAUGCCGCGUGUGUGAAGAAGGUCUUCGGAUUGUAAAGCACUUUAAGUUGGGGGGAAGGGCAGUAAGUUAAUACCUUGCUGUUUUGACGUUACCAACAGAAUAAGCACCGGCUAACUUCGUG